rnacentral:rRNA from 1 species
UACGGGGGGGGCAAGCGUUGUUCGGAAUUACUGGGCGUAAAGCGCGCGUAGGCGGCUUUCUAAGUCAGGGGUGAAAUCCUGGAGCUCAACUCCAGAACUGCCUUUGAUACUGGGAAGCUCGAGUCCGGAAGAGGUGAGUGGAACUGCGAGUGUAGAGGUGAAAUUCGUAGAUAUUCGCAAGAACACCAGUGGCGAAGGCGGCUCACUGGUCCGGUACUGACGCUGAGGUGCGAAAGCGUGGGGAGCAAACAGG